rnacentral:rRNA from 1 species
CAGCCGCCGCGGGAAUACCGAGGAUGCAAGCGUUAUCCGGAAUGAUUGGGCGUAAGGCGUCUGUAGGUGGCUUUUCAAGUCCGCCGUCAAAUCCCAGGGCUCAACCCUGGACAGGCGGUGGAAACUACCAAGCUGGAGUACGGCAGAGGGGGAUGGAAUUCCGCGUGUAGCAGUGAAAUGCGUAGAUAUGCGGAGGAACACCGAUGGCGAAGGCAAUCCCCUGGGCCUGCACUGACGCUCAUGCACGAAAGCGUGGGGAGCAAACAGGAUUAGAGACCCCUGUAGUCCCUGUCUCUUAUAU